rnacentral:rRNA from 1 species
AGCGCAGGCGGGUUGGCAAGUCCUUGGUGAAAUCCUGAGGCUUAACCUCAGGACUGCCAAUGAUACUGCCGAUCUUGAGUGCAGAAGAGGAAGACGGAAUUCCUGGUGUAGCGGUGAAAUGCGUAGAUAUCAGGAAGAACACCGGUGGCGAAGGCGGUCUUCUGGUCUGUAACUGACGCUCAUGCUCGAAAGCGUGGGGAGCAAACAGGAUUAGAUACCCUGGUAGUCCACGCCCUAAACGAUGGAUACUCGAUGUCGGGUCGCAAGGCCCGGUGUCCAAGCUAACGCGUUAAGUAUCCCACCUGGGGAGUACGAUCGCAAGACUAAA